GUAUGAAUUUGGGCAGGGGGGAAGAUGGGCAACUUGGUCCAUUACAGUGGGUAAAGGUGUCAGCUUUUCUGAGAAACAUUUGAGGAAGAAUGGAUUAGGCUGAAUCCAUCAUUCUCAACUGUCAGUCAGACCAGAGCCUGUGAUGGUAAAAUUUGGCUGACCAAAGGGACCAAAGGCCUGAAGUCAUCCUGGUACCUGUCAUGGGCUGAAUGCUUGUGCUCCCUUGUCAUUGGUCAGGUCUGAAGAAGUCCCACCAAUGGAGAGAAUGGAGACUUCAACUCACCUCCACCCACAGACGCCUUCUUCAAGAACCCUAAAUGCUUUACAGACAUUAUUUCUAAUUAAUCCCCACAACAACCCUGUGAGCAAACCAAACAGACCAAGAUUGAACU
rnacentral:lncRNA from 1 species